GGAUGGGUCACGGUGAUUUCCUGCUGGUCUUUGUGACGUGCUGCGUGUCCCGAUUGCAGGGUGAACCUGGGCAGAAGGGGGAGAGAGGAGAAGCUGGCGAGAAAGGCAGGGAUGGCAGCCCGGGCCUCCCAGGAGAAAGAGGCCUUGCUGGGCCGGAAGGGAAACCGGGUAUGCCAGGCUUUCCCGGAGUUCUAGGCCGACCGGGCAACCAGGGAGAUCCAGGGCCACCAGGCUCAGCUGUAAGUAACACCAGCCUCCUGUACCUUCUGUUGUCCAUGGCUGUGCGUGUAUCAGAGCCACAUCUCCGGUGGCAUGGGGGAAUCUGCUACUGCCUGAACCCCAACAUUCACAGUAGUGUCCAGAUGGUUCCUGGAGGCUGAAACCUGCUGGCAUGAGAUGUCAGCCCAGCACAGAGCUUAUGCUGGGAAAGGGGAACAGAAAAUGACAUCCAUUGGAGCUGCCAGAGGCACACAAAGCAUUUCUGUUCAGCUUUCACCACCCUGCCAGCCCUCGCCAUGGGGCCUGCAAGAGAUGAUGUCCUGCAGAGCUGGAGGCACAGCCCCCUGUGUUCUUAGCAGGGCCAGGGCGAUGCGGAUCCCUGAGCCCAGGAUGUUAAACGGGGCUUUUGUGGGUGCGGCAGAUUCCAAGGCAGCAAACCAAACAGGAAGCACAUCAGCGUUGUCCAUGCUGUGCUCCAGAACCGGCUCAGUUGCACUGCUGGGCUCUAGCUGUACCCGGGGAUAACCAUCUUCUCUUUCCUUGCAGGGGCUUGUUGGACCGCCAGGCGCUCAGGGCCCACCUGGAAUAAAGGUGCGUCCCAGACAGCA
rnacentral:lncRNA from 1 species